CUCACGCCAAGGAGUACUUCUCAGAACUUCUGCCAGUGUCCUUGUCCCUUCGGUGAGCCACAGCCACCCCCCGCCUCUGCAGGAGAUGCUCCAACACUAGCAGGUGCUCCAGAUUCAGAGAUCAGCAUAUACGGUCCCUAUCUUCAAGAAGCUUACCAUCUAGCUGACUUCUCUGCACAAUGCCAUGGGAGCUGUGACAGAUAUUGAAGCUGUGCCCACUCUGGUCUUGCUUGGCUGGCCCCACCAAAAACAUCACCUCCAAUGACCCAGACAUGCUGUGUUCUUUGUAUGAUCUGGACUCCAAGGAUAAAGAAUACAUGCCCUUGCACACUCACAUGCCUGUGUCUAUGUGUGUUGGGGAGAUUAGUAUGAAACUGAGUGUGGGACGCACAGGAGGGGAUCAACUUAUGACAGCACUUGCGGCCAUGCCCAGAUUCCUCCCAUAAUAUUAUUGUCUUAACAUUUUUUUUCUUUCAGACAACUUGCUUUUUAGAUGUAAAUAAUUUAUGAACAGA